rnacentral:rRNA from 1 species
UACGUAGGGUGCGAGCGUUAAUCGGAGUUACUGGGCGUAAAGCGUGCGCAGGCGGUGAUGUAAGACAGGUGUGAAAUCCCCGGGCUUAACCUGGGAACUGCAUUUGUGACUGCAUCGCUGGAGUGCGGCAGAGGGGGAUGGAAUUCCGCGUGUAGCAGUGAAAUGCGUAGAUAUGCGGAGGAACACCGAUGGCGAAGGCAAUCCCCUGGGCCUGCACUGACGCUCAUGCACGAAAGCGUGGGGAGCAAACAGG